CCAAUAGCGUAUAUUAAAGUUGUUGCAGUUAAAAAGCUCGUAGUUGAAUUUCGGGAUCAAUAUGUUGGUCGUGCCUUGGUACGUACUAGUUUAUUGGUUUCUCUCUUCUGACGAACCAUGAUGUCAUUAAUUUGGUGUCAUGUGGAAUCAGAACUGUUACUUUGAAAAAAUUAGUGUGUUUAAAGCAGGCUCACGCUUGAAUACAUUAGCAUGGAAUAAUGAAAUAGGACGUUUGAUUCUAUUUUGUUGGUUUCUAGGAUUGACGUAAUGAUUAAUAGGGAUAGUUGGGGCAUUAGUAUUCAAUUGUCAGAGGUGAAAUUCUUGGAUUUAUUGAAGACUAACUACUGCGAAAGCAUUUGCCAAGGAUGUUUUCAUUAAUCAAGAACGAAAGUUAGGGGAUCGAAGACGAUCAGAUACCGUCGUAGUCUUAACCAUAAACUAUGCCGACUAGGGAUCGGAUGAUGUUAAUUUUUUAAUGACUCAUUCGGCGCCUUACG
rnacentral:rRNA from 1 species